rnacentral:rRNA from 1 species
UACGGAGGGUGCAAGCGUUAUCCGGAUUCACUGGGUUUUAAGGGUGCGUAGGCGGGCUUGUAAGUCAGUGGUGAAAGCCCGGAGCUCAACUCCGGAACUGCCAUUGAUACUGCAGGUCUUGAGUACACUUGAGGUGGGCGGAAUACAUCAUGUAGUGGUGAAAUACUUAGAUAUGAUGUAGAACACCGAUUGCGAAGGCAGCUCACUAAAUUGUAACUGACGCUGAGGCACGAAAGCGUGGGGAUCAAACAGG